AGAUCAUGACUCUCGACCAAUGGAAGGAUAUGAUUGGACAAGACUGCCAAGAAAGGUAUUUCUGUUUACGCGCGCACACGUUGUCCACAAUAAAUUUUGCCAGGAUUCUAAUCUAUAAUUGUUUAUCGCUACUUAUCAUGCAGCGGAUUAAACAAUGAAUAAAUAAAAGUCUACUUCGGCACAUGACCGUAUACAAGAAACUGUCAAAGUAAUUGUGGCUUAAAGUGACGUCGCAACGAAAUAAUCUUUUUUGAUAAUUGGAAGGCACAUGGCAUCAUUAUUUAAGCUAGACCCAAGUCAGUCACCCAGCUAGACCCUAACUAGACUGUAUGCGGAGCUACUUAAG
rnacentral:lncRNA from 1 species